CUCCCUUGCUAUCUUUGUGGUUCUCUAGAGACUUCUUAAAUAAGAUCUGAUACAUGCAGUUCUUUGAGUUGUAUUCUCCUUUUCUGAUACAGAAGCCCUAUUUAUGUCAGGAUGAGAUAUGUAGAAAGGGAAAGCAUUCUCCAGUUCUAUGAUUAGGUCUUAGUCUUUAAGUGAGCCCUGUGCCCCUGGGCCGUGACCUUCACAAGUGUUUCUCAGUGCCCCUACCCUCCUUAGGUGAGACAUGAAGGCUAAAGAGGGCUGGAGUUGGCUAUUUCUCUUUCUUUAGUUCCAUUAGGCUCUGGUGAAUCCCCAAUCAGGCUCUGGUGAAAUAGUUUCUUUUGAGGCCAAGGCACGUUAAGAACAAAAUGUUCUAGGCUUAUUUCAAAAUAGCUGUUUUCCCCUUUCCCCUGCCAGAAGCACAGGGAAUUUUUCUCCUAUCUUUGCUGUGAGAACUUGGUAGAGCUUCUAGAAUUAACACUCACAAGAGUGUGAGGGACCCCCUAAGACUGGGUCCCCCUGGAAUUUUUAACUUUCAAACUUGACCACACUGAGUCUCCAAGAAUUCGUCACAGUUUAGGUUUUCCUCCUCUGGUACUGGUUCCCGUUCCAGAGGCUGAGCAAGAGCUAGACUUAAGAAGAAAACCAAAAAUAAAAUUUGAUAUUGUGGCAGCCAUGGGGAGAAACUGUUUUCAAGAAGAAAGAAGUGGUCAGCAAUGUUACCAAAGAGGAAGUAACGUGAAAUUGAAAAAGUUCAGCAGCCUGGCUGGAGAUGUGUGAAAAGGAGACCAUUGUGUUGAUCCAGAGUUGGAGUUUGUCCACGUGACAUAGGAGAAAGAGGCACUGAAUGAACAAACAUAAUGGUCUAAUAGACUCUGAAGUCAAGACAGGGGCCUUGUGAAGAGAAAUCUGAGUUAAGAAAAGUUCAAACAACUGUGUCAUCACCAUGAAAAGCAGGAAGCUGAGGGAUGUGCGAUUUGAGUGCACAGGAGAGCUAAAAGGACACUUUAACCCCUAGUGAUGACUUCAGUGCUCUGUGUUUAAAGAACUCUGGCUGACAUAGCUCUUGCUCUUUUCUUUUUUUAAAUUUUAAUGAUACUCUUGAUUCUUAUGUGGUAGUUAUGUUCUAUAAAUUCACUGUGAAUGCUGGAUUAGUAAAUACUGGAUCAUUGCCUCUAGGAGAUAUAAGAGGUUAGGUUCCUGUGAGCCUUUGGUCACAUGUCCCCAGCCAAUCCAUACAUAACCUAGUUUUAUGUGUGUUUCUGUUUAAAGACACCUGUUUAAUAUGUAUUGUUGAUUCAUUAACAUUGAAUUCAAAAAACAUGCCAUAAAGAGACCACGGAAAUGACACUUGCUUACUGUAGGAGGGCUGAAAGAAGGCAGAACAUCCACCAAUUCAACUUCAGCUGGAAGUGUCUGUCAAGCGACUAACAUUUUUUGCCACUCUGCACAUGUGUUAUGUCCACAAAUGACCAUGAAAGUGCCACAACUAUUGAUUUGAGGAUUACAAAUAACUUUUAGUGAGUGGGCAUAUUUGCAAGUAUGGAAUCUGGAAAUAGCGAGGAUCAAAUGUAUGAAUGUAUUUUAAAUUUUAAAAUGAAACGUAAAAAUAAAAAACUUUCUUGUCCAUCUCUACUGUUCCCAUCCCCCACUCCAUCUUUCCUUUCUAGAAUAACCACUCUCAGUUUCCAGUGCAUUUACAUAUAUGUGUA